rnacentral:rRNA from 1 species
CCUACGGGAGGCAGCAGUGGGGAAUAUUGGGCAAUGGGCGCAAGCCUGACCCAGCGACGCCGCGUGAGGGAAGACGGUCUUCGGAUUGUAAACCUCUUUCAGCAGGGAAGACAAAAGGACGGUACCUUCAGAAGAAGCCACGGCUAACUACGUGCCAGCAGCCGCGGUAAUACGUCGGUGGCAAGCUUUAUCCGGAAUUACUGGGUGUAAAGGGUGUGUAGGCGGGUUUGCAAGUCAGAUGUGAAAAUUAUGGGCUCAACCCCUAACCUGCGUCUGAAACUACAGAUCUUGAGAGUGGGAGAGGUAAACGGAAGUCCCGGUGUAGCGGUGAAAGGCGGAGAUAUACGGAGGAACACCAGGGGCGAAGGCGGAUUGCUGGACAGUAACUGACGCUGAGGCGCGAAAGCGUGGGGAGCAAACAGGAUUAGAUACCCGUGUAGUC